GCUCUGAUUCCAUGAGAGUGGCGCACGGGUGCGUAACGCGUGAGCAACCUACCUCUAUCAGGGGGAUAGCCUCUCGAAAGAGAGAUUAACACCGCAUAACAUCAACAGUUCGCAUGUUCUGUUGAUUAAAUAUUUAUAGGAUAGAGAUGGGCUCGCGUGACAUUAGCUAGUUGGUAGGGUAACGGCUUACCAAGGCGACGAUGUCUAGGGGCUCUGAGAGGAGAAUCCCCCACACUGGUACUGAGACACGGACCAGACUCCUACGGGAGGCAGCAGUAAGGAAUAUUGGUCAAUGGGCGGAAGCCUGAACCAGCCAUGCCGCGUGCAGGAUGACUGCCCUAUGGGUUGUAAACUGCUUUUGUCCAGGAAUAAACCUCUUUACGUGUAAAGAGCUGAAUGUACUGGAAGAAUAAGGAUCGGCUAACUCCGUGCCAGCAGCCGCGGUAAUACGGAGGAUCCGAGCGUUAUCCGGAUUUAUUGGGUUUAAAGGGUGCGUAGGCGGCCUAUUAAGUCAGGGGUGAAAUACGGUGGCUCAACCAUCGCAGUGCCUUUGAUACUGAUGGGCUUGAAUCCAUUUGAAGUGGGCGGAAUAAGACAAGUAGCGGUGAAAUGCAUAGAUAUGUCUUAGAACUCCGAUUGCGAAGGCAGCUCACUAAGCUGGUAUUGACGCUGAUGCACGAAAGCGUGGGGAUCGAACAGGAUUAGAUACCCUGGUAGUCCACGCCCUAAACGAUGAUAACUCGAUGUUGGCGAUAGACAGCCAGCGUCUUAGCGAAAGCGUUAAGUUAUCCACCUGGGGAGUACGCCCGCAAGGGUGAAACUCAAAGGAAUUGACGGGGGCCCGCACAAGCGGAGGAGCAUGUGGUUUAAUUCGAUGAUACGCGAGGAACCUUACCCGGG
rnacentral:rRNA from 1 species